rnacentral:lncRNA from 1 species
CAAAAGUAAUUUUUUGUCUCAAAAACUCAUUUUGACCAUGUCAAACGGCCCUUAAUUCAUCACAAUUUGAACCCCAAAAAAACCGACCAUAGGAUAAAAAUCCAGAUCAAACAGGCGCUAAAUUUGAAAACCGCAUCUUCAGCCUUUAAAAUAAUUCCUCUUCGAAAGAAGCCCAAAUCGUUUUGCUGUUGUUUAGCGGAUUUAAAUCGUAAUUUUGAUUGAAAAAAGCUCCCAGUAACCAUUUUUCAGCUCUCAAAUUCGUGUUUGUUGAAGUUCGAUUCGCGGACAUUCUCCUCAUCUAUUGAGCUGAAUCUUCUCGAAUCCUUUUUGUAAGUGAAUUUCUCCACUGCGGUGUUUUCAUUAUUCUUUUGCAUUCAGUUAUAAUAGAAGAAUCGUUGUUUUUCGUAUUUUAUUGUUUACCGAGAAAUAGAAAUAAUAGUUUGUUUGUUAUGCCUCGUCACACUUGCAAUCCCUAGGUUUUUUAUGGAUGAGCGAACCUUAUUUUAUCUCGAUUCAUGUAUAUGCAUUUAGAAUUGAUUAGUUCGAAAAUAUGUUGCCUGGAUAAUAAUGUGCAUUAAUUUGGUAGUAUGCUCGAUACUGUGUGGAGUUUGGUUCUGGACUAUUUUUGUGGAAGUGCACUUUUUAACCACUUAUUUAGGUCCAUGGAAUUUUAGAGCCUCAGGACUUUUUCAUACAUUACAUGAUUCACGAGUUUGCUUUUAAGAGUGAUAAUUACGUAUAUUGAUAGCUCAAUAAUUGAGUGUAUUGAGUCUAUUGACAUUGCUCUUUGGUUUCGUUCUUCUAAGGUUGAUUUUCCACCUCUCUUGCAGAUACAAAAAUCUUAGGUUACAGGUGAUGAAACCUUUAAAACUUAUAGUCCAAACCUUCUUUAGGUUUAUAACAAGUUAUAAAAUUAUCUCUUCCUUCUAGUGUUUUUCUCAACAUAUGAGUCUGUAAUGGGCACAUUCGGGGAUUUAAUGCUUUCAGUGUUCUGUUUGCAGCAAAUGCAGUGAGCUUCCUUUUAAUAUGCUACUUUUUUGGUAUUUAGAGUAGUUCAUAGGUAUGGUCAUACAAACUUUAAGGUAUGAAAUUUACGAGUUAUACUAUAAAGUUAUGAGAGAAUGUGAUUGAGCAUAACAUCAAUUUGGGUUUAUGGCACAGAGAUCUACCAUGGAAACCAUUUAUCUACUUUAGAGAUUGAUUGGCUGGAAAAUAUGAAGAAAUAAGGUGAUUUGAAUUUGUUAAGGAAACUUAAAAUUAAGGUGCAUAGGGUAGUGAUGUGUGCUAGAAAAAAAAAAAUACUUUUAUCAGAUAUAUAAAUACAUUUAAGUAUAUGUAUGAUGAAACAAUGAUGGAUUUGGAAGCUAUAUGCCAAAAAGUAGUCAUGACAACUACUGACAAAAAAUUUAGAGCAUAAUGAAGUAGAUCAUUGGUGCAUCCAUCGCAAUUCUAAUGAAGCUCUCAUGAAUACAUUUGAUCAGGAAGAGACAGACCAUGUAAGUGUGUGAAGUGGUUGCUGAAUAUUUAAUUUCUUUGGACUUUCAGUAGAUGUGUUGUUAGAUCAAGAAGUGGCUAAAAAGGAUUCAAGUAGCCAACCUCAAAUUUAUAUUUGGAAUAAAGCUUAUCAUCUUUUUCUUGUUUAUAUUGUUACUAACUUGCAAUCCGUAUUGUGUUUUUCAGGAUUAAUUUCAACAUAAUCCAUGUGCAUUUUUUCUAGUUGCAAAUAAUUGUAAUAAGCGUAUCUUUUUACACGUUUAAUAGUAUUUAAUAUCUGUUAUGAAUGAUAUUGGUAGGUUCCACCUGUAAAUUCAAGGAAACAACUGAAUAGAAACCCCAAAACAAUAAAUUUGAUUCCUAUUGUAAUCUGGAUUAUGGACCUAAGGAAGGAAGUGCAAUAUUAUUUAUGAUAAAAAUCUAAAAACUUUAAGUUAGAAUUGAAAUCUUUACUCACAGAAACUUCAUUUCAUAAAAUUUUAGAAUGAUUAAUAUUAUUGAAUUACUAGUCUUAGCUAUAAGGGAGCUUUUAAUACUUACUUUAUUUAGUUCAAUGAAGCUUAAGUUUCAUAGGUUUUGAUGAAAAAUAUCUAGUAUUUAAUAUUAAAUUCAGUGUUUUAACACAUUUUUAACUCUUUUCCAUUAUCUCUGUCUAUUAAGAUAUUGUCAAAACUUGAUGUCAUACGAUGGAGUAAACUGUGAAUGCCAACCAUUCUAAACUUCAUGUUACCUAGAGUUUUGCACCGGGUACUGUUGAACUUGUAAUUUAUGCACUAUUUGUGAAAGUGCUUUGAUAUAACCCCAAAUUAGUAGUUAGUCCAAUUUUCAUUUACUUGGGGGUAUUAUGGGAACUUUGCCCAUGUUUCAUGGCCAUUAUUGUGUAAAAAUGAUGUUUUCAAUAGUGUGUUUUUUUUUUUUUUAAGAAUGUGUGGUUAAAAAGUGGGGAAAGGUUUUGGGUUUACGUGCAAAAUAUUUUAUUAUGUGAAUGCGUGGUUGAAAAUGAGUAUGAGAAAUAAAUUGUUUUGUUUUAAAGGGAGUCAAAUAGGGAAUUAAUAAGUUGUAUAGGCUUUUACCUAUAAAUAGGGGGUAUCGUUUCAUUUGGAAGUAGGCAGAAAUUCAGAGAAAUCUGAUGGAGAGAAUUGGCCUCUCGAAUGCCAAAUAUCUGCAUUUUCUAUCCUUAAUUUCUGGAGUGCAGUUUCAUGGAUUUACAGAUUGUGUUUACUGUUUGCAUUUUCUCAUUACAUAAACGAUUGUUCUCAAUCUUCAAUUCAAUAUAGAGUUAUACAUUACAAUCAACAUCUCCAGCCUACAUCCUUCCAUUACAAUAGUGUUGCCUAACAAUUCUACUGAUCAGCUGAUUCACAGGUCCACAGUGGUAGCAGCAGCAGGAAAUUCCAUCAGUUGAGCAGCAGCAACAGGGGACUCAGCAACAAGGGACCCUAUCACACUUGAUAUUAUGAGGUUACCUUUUUGAGACCAGGUGGGUUGAUCGCGUUAGCUGCCAGUUUAUGCUAGUAUAACUACAAUGGCAUCAUCUUCUUAGAAUCCUGUGUCUGUGGAUCCAAGAUGCUGUCAAAAAAUGUUAUUUGCUUCUCAGAAGUGAUUUUUUCCUGUAAUCUCCAUUCCGAUCCCUUCCCCUGCCAAAAUGUUGUCAUCAAGUGGAAAGUCUUUUAACUUUCAAGUAUAAUGUGUUCUACAGUUGGGAUGUCCUUCAAGUAUGAUGCUUCUUGAGUAGACUGCUGAUCAAAUAUGGUAUUGAUGGUUGGAAAGAGAAAAGACUUUACACUUUAUUUACUUAACUGGAAACUUAUGAUGCACCGACACAGACAUGUGUGUCCGACAUGAUACGCGUCGGAUGCGUCGAUAUAUGAUUUUUCAAAAAAGUGCCGAC